GUUCUUAUUUCUAGUUAUUUUGCUCAGUGCAGAGUGGCUAAAAACAAGUUGUGCUGGAAGAAGGAAGGAAAAAAAGAGAAAGAAAAAGGGGGGAAACAACAAAAAACAAAAGCAAAAGCAAAACAAAACAAAAACAAAAACAAAAGGAAAAACAAGGAGGGGUAUCCUCUGAUUCUAUAUACAGUAAGUCCCUCUACUUCCCCUGGAGCUUUCCAGAGCUGCUCGGUCAAGAAUUUGCUUUUCCUCUGUCCUUCCAGCUGGUCUUCUGCGGGAGGGCCUGGGGUGCUGAUUCUCAGGUGUGUGCACCUGGGGGAGCUGCCCCGCCCCCUGCCAGGUGCUCGGCUCAGUGGAAGCUCUUUAUCCUGUGAGGCCCCUGGUCCCUGGCAGCCCCUGGUCCCUGGCGGCCCCGCUCCAUCCCGGGCACAAGGUGACACAGGGAGGAACAACAAAACUGGCAGCGGCCAGUUCUGCAGCCCUGGAGUCAGCUCCCACAGUAACUACCACAGUCUCCCAGUCUUCACCGGCCUGGAUGCUCCGGGGGCUGGGGGCACUGAUCUGCACGGGGCUGGACCGCCCAGCAGCAGAGGGUCCUCUCUGUCCUGUGCCCUCCCCACCUCCGCCUGUCCCAAGGGGAGCAACAGAUCCUGGGCUAUGUCCUCCGGCGCCCUGGUCUCGAGGGCCUGUGCGGCUGGAAUGGCGCUCCCAGGGUGCGCAGCCCCCUCUGUGCGGUGCCUCUGCCUGAGCCGCGGCCAGAGCUGCUCCCGAGGUCCCACCGGGCACCCUCCAGCCCUUUACGGUGUUUGGUCCGUGGUGUGUGGCUCGCUCUCCCCGGGGCGCACCUCCUCUGUUAAUGACCUCAGGAACCUGGGGGCUCCACUGCUCCUCCUGGGAUCCUGCCCGAGUUCCCUGCGAGUGCCUUUCCAUCUGGGAAGAUUUUUAAAUCUUCCUACAUCUCCGGGACUGGGCUUUCCUGUCCUGGAGGCUCUCACCCCGGCCUUAGCCUGGCUUCUCGCGCCCCCCACCCCCGCCACUGGAUUAUUUUUUAUUUAA
rnacentral:lncRNA from 1 species